GGCCUUGUUGUGAAGGUUAAGACUACUCAAACGACGUAGUUCCGCUUCUGCAAAGUUUGGAAAUGGGAAAUUAUUCAAGGCAGAAUGCAAGCGAGGGCUACUAUCAGAAGAAUUGUUUGCAUCUAACACGAUCAGAGGAGCAGUCCAGUCAUAACAGUCAACAGUGGUGGGUAUUCUGA